AACGCGAAGAACCUUACCUAGACUUGACAUCCCCGGCAAAGCUAUAGAAAUAUAGUGGAGGUUACCCGGGUGACAGGUGGUGCAUGGUUGUCGUCAGCUCGUGUCGUGAGAUGUUCGGUUAAGUCCGCUAACGAGCGCAACCCUUAUCCUUAGUUGCUAACAUUAAGUUGAGAACUCUAGCGAGACUGCCGGUGACAAACCGGAGGAAGGUGGGGAUGACGUCAAAUCAUCAUGCCCCUUACGUCUAGGGCUACAGGCGUGCUACAAUGGCCGAUACAAAAAGACGCAAUACCGUGAGGUGGAGCUAAUCUCUAAAAUCGGUCUCAGUUCGGAUUGGAGUCUGCAACUCGACUCCAUGAAGCUGGAAUCGCUAGUAAUCCUGAAUCAGAAUGUCAGGGUGAAUACGUUCCCGGGUCUUGUACACACGC
rnacentral:rRNA from 1 species